GGCGGAGGGGAGCCCCUGCCCCCCGUGAACUCGAGGAAGGGGAGAGCUGGGGUCCCGGCUCUGGAGGGCAGAGGAUUUGAGACCAGAGACCCGGCCUCUGCUCAGCUUUGGCUCACAGCCUGCGGCUGUCGCUGCCUGAAGGGACUGGCCUUCGGAUGCUUUGCAAACUUAAAAAGCCAAAGCAAUUUUUUAAAUGUCCCGCUCAAGACUUUCAAAACUGGAAGCGGAGAGUCUGAAGGGUCUAUAACCUGAUACUUUGGUGAGAGAUGUUCUGGGAGCAGGAUCCCCCUGUGAGACUGUCAGUGUCCACACGGAAAAGCCCUCGGUGUGGAUGCUGCAGGCUACUUUCGUUCUACCUUUCUGUUUGCCGAAUCUUCAGGUGGACUCUGCAGCUUUUGCCCCGGACACAAAGUAGAUAAAAGUACAGAAACUUCCUGUUUGCAGCCCACACCUUCUCUAGCUAUUAAGAACUUGUUCCAGUGAUGGAGCCUCAAAGGAAUUUGUGGAUUCCUCUCCCACAAGUGUCCAGGGGCAGAGGUGCUGGGAGAAUGAGGAGUUCACAGAGGACUUGAGCAUGACAGUCGUAAUAGAUGAACCAGACUUCAGGGAAAGAAGAAAAGACUGAGUGAGCCAGCAUACUGUUUUUCUUCGAAAUAGAAAGGUUUUGGUAAAGGAUCGCUCACAACUCUGAAGAGUAAGUUAUGUUUCUGUAACUUUCCAAAGACACAGUGAUUCCCUAAACUUUUUGAGGGGUGUAUGCUGCCAGGUGCUAGACAAACUUCAUUUGUUCAGUCACAGUUUGGCCAAAGCCAGAUCUGAACUUUGUGUGUGAACACUGUCCAGAAAAGGACAAGGUUAUUAAAGUUCAGGUGGCGGAGGAAAGGUAUUCUAGUCCGAAUGAGCAGAAAGAAUGCCUCUCCUCUCAAGAAAAGAGUGCUCUGUGUGUGAACAGGCAUCUCUGGCUGGAUGGAUCAAAGGGCACUUGUGGGAAGAGCAGAGUGAGUGAAGACAGAAGCAGACGCUCCCCCCAACUUUACACUGUGGCACUGCAGCAACAGCCAGCCACUUUGGAUUUGGGAUGGGGGGGCUCUGUGCUACAUGUUAAAGAGUGCUCAGUGAUCCAGGCACUUGACCCUACAGCCAAGAGAGAGGGAAGACUACUUACUGGUCUAGCUGGCAGCAGACCCUGGCCUCGUCCACAUGAUGCUUUUAGGUGCAUGCAGAAUGCAAGAGUUGUGGGGUCAGGAAGGCUUCCACUCAGAUUUCAGAAGGUCUGGGAGGCCAGGCAGGGUGCCCGUGAGAAGGCAGACUGUGAAGUUGUGAGUGUGAAAAGCCAAAGGUGCAGUGGAGACCCCAGAAGUUUGGGGAAGCCAGGAGUGUGGUUCAUCUGAGGAAAGCUGCAAGGAGGGAGCAGAACCUGCCCAAAAGAGAAGCUGUGGGAGCUACAAACAUCUACAGGCUGUAGGGGCAGAGUCACCCAAGUCCUUUGGAGUUCACAUCUUGCCACAGAUUGCCUUGGAUGCCGCACUGGGAACUACAGGAUUUAAUAUUUGCCCUGCUGGAUUUUGGACUUGCUUUGGUCCAGUUUCUUUGUAUUCCCAUUUGUACCUUUUGGAAUGUUAAUGUUUAUAUUGUGCCAUUGAAUGUCGGAAGUGUUUGACUUUCUUUUCAUUUGUACAAGGGCUUGCAGCUAAGAGUUUGCCUUAAAUUUCAGAGAAGACUUUAGACUUGGACUUUUCAGCAGUGCUGAAAUUAUUAGGAUUUAGGCAACUCUCGGAGAUGGACUAAAUGCCUUUUGCAUAAAGGGAUGUGCAUGAGUCUUUUCGGGGCCAGGGGCGGACUAUUACAGCUUAGGGUUAGAUGUCCCCCCAAAGCCUCAGGCUUUUUCAGAGGUGGGUGAAUCUAGAGCGUGUGAUUGACUCAUGGUGGGGCCACCCUGCGGGCACUAGGGUUAAGGGCGUGAGUGCUGCCCACCCUAAGUAGUCUGAAUAACAUAAAAGGGGCAGAAAGACGCUGUUGAGGUCCCUUGUUGCUUUUGCUACUACCGUGUGGGCGCCAGGAACUGCUUCUCCUCUGUGAUGCCCCUCCGCCAUGUGCCACUCUGCCUUGGAGCCAGCCAACUAUGGACUGAAACCUCUAUGAACUAUAAGCCAAUAAACCUUUCCCCCUCUAACUGUGGGUAUUGGGUAUUUUGUCUCAGCAAUGAGAAAAAAGUAACUAAGAAAUCCCUUAUCUCAUUUUUAUGUCUAGUACAGUGUUUGGCAUGUAUUUAGUAAAUAAUUCUUGAAUGAUGACCAAGUUACCUUUAUACUCAAAGCCAACUGAGGGAAAUUUUAUAGAAUAACAACAAAAAGAAAAGUGAUCUUUUCACAUUGCCUAAUAUAUUUAUGGAACCAAUUUUCAUGAAAGAUAGCAUAGGCCAAACAUACAGGAGUCCAAAGUAUUUAGAGAAAUUAAAAGAUAAUAGGCUUAUACAUUCAAAUAAAUUGUUUGGUAUAGCCCAAAUCCCUGAAAUAAACAUCAGGGAAAACAAGAACCACAUUGUCUCACUACAUUCCUAAUAGAGCUAUAAUCAGAGAAUGAAUAUUGAACUACAGGCAUAUGUACUUUUCUAAAAAUACAGUGCAGCAACAAAACUUUCCUAACCUCCUUAAAAAAAUAUCUUCGUAGAUGAGAUCAAGUUAUAUGUUCUAUAAAGCUAAAUUCUGGCAAUUAAGUUUAAAUCAAUUAACCUCAGACUCAUUGGAAAAAGAAUUUAAAAGGGUUGCUAGAAAGUAAAGCUAUUUAUUUGGUCCAGGUUUCUUUACCUCUGAAAGAACUUCAUGCUUGUUGACACAGAAGGUUUUCAACUUGGGUUCUAGUUCUGGUUACAGCCCUCUAGAUGCUAGGUCCUUAUCAAUAAAGUGAAAGAGUCUGAAGGUCCUUUCUAAUUCUGGAAUUCCAGUGAUUUAUGUUCUUGUUUAAAUUUGCAAUGUUAAACAAACUGAAUUAACUAACCCUAGGUAGCUUCUUUUAAAAACACUAACAGUGCUUAAAGGCUAGACUUAUGCCCACCAGGGAUUUAAAGCCAUAUGUAUCUCCAUGAGUUGAUUAACUGUUAAAAUACAAUUUGCCUUUCAAAAAUGUGAUUGUCUUUCUUAAUAUGAAUGAUAUCAUAGCCAGCCAUUCUCUAUCCCUUGUUAUUUUGUCUAUAUAAUAUAUGUGUGUCCAAACCAGG
rnacentral:lncRNA from 1 species